rnacentral:lncRNA from 1 species
GAAAUUUGAAAAGGCAGAAAGCCUCAUAAACCAUGUCUCUGAUCUCACCUCUGCUGCCUCCAAAUUUCUCUCUCUCAGACAUUUUUUAUCCAAAAAUAAAAAAGAAAAUAAAACAUGAUACAAGAACAUGAUAUCAAGUGUCUGCUAUGCAGCAGAGAUACCAAAACAGAUACAUUUGGAUAGUCCAAGUUUGGCAAACCAUGGAAAGCAAGAUAUAUGAUGUUG